AAAAAUGUAAUUUCUAAUUCUGUUUCUUUGUGUUAGGAGGAAUUGGCCAAAGUAUAGAUGAUUUUUUUUUUCAGAGGUCACUGAUGGUGAAGGAAGACAGCUGGUACUCCUGUUUUUACUAUUCAAGGAGUAAUGUGUCAUUUACUGGUAUGAUGACUUACCUUCAUGGCAGCGUGGGAUCUUUAAUGUUCUUUGCACGGAAUCAGUCCUUAGGCUAACUGUGCUCAAAGUAUGUGUUGCACCUACAUGAUGAAGGCUGUACUGUAAACAUGACUCCACC